rnacentral:rRNA from 1 species
AGGACGAACGCUGGCGGCGUGCUUAACACAUGCAGGUCGAGCGACAGCACCUUUCGGGGUGCAUGGAGCGGCGAACGGGUGAGUAACACGUGGGCAACCUGCCCUCAGCUCUGGGACAACUCCGGGAAACCGGGGCUAAUACCGGAUACGACCUUCCCUCGCAUGGGGGUUGUGGAAAGUUCUUCGGCUGAGGAUGGGCCCGCGGCCUAUCAGCUUGUUGGUGGGGUGAAGGCCUACCAAGGCGACGACGGGU